rnacentral:tRNA from 1 species
GCCUGGGUGGCUCAGUCAGUUGGGCGUCUGACUUCGGCUCAGGUCAUGAUCUCGCGGUCCGUGAGUUCAAGCCCCGCAUCGGGCU